AUUGAACGCUGGCGGCAGGCCUGACACCUGCAAGUCGAACGAGUGGCGUACGGGUGAGUAAUGUCUGGUAAACUGCCCGAUGUAUGGGGAUAACUACUGGAACCGGUAGAUAAUACCGCAUACCCUCGGAUAUGCCCCGAUGGGAUUAGCUUGUAGGUUAGGUAACGGCUCACCUCGACGACGAUCCCUAGCUGGUCUGAGAGGAUGACCAGCCACACUGGAACUGAGACACGGUCCAGACUCCUACGGGAGGCAGCAGUGGGGAAUAUUGAACAAUGGGCGCAAGCCUGAUGCAGCCAUGCCGCGUGUAUGAAGAAGGCCUUCGGGUUGUAAAGUACUUGCAGCGGGGAGGCGUUACCCGCAGAAGAAGCACCGGCUAACUCCGUGCCAGCAGCCGCGGUAAUAC
rnacentral:rRNA from 1 species